rnacentral:rRNA from 1 species
AGGGUUUGAUCAUGGCUCAGAACGUACGCUGGCGGCACGCCUAACACAUGCAAGUCGAACGAAGUAGCAAUACUUAGUGGCAGACGGGUGAGUAACAUGUAGGUAUCUGCCCUUUGGCCUGGAAUAACACGAGGAAACUUGUGCUAAUACCGGAUAAGUCUUUACGGAGAAAGCUUUAUGCACCAUUGGAUGAGCCUGCACUUGAUUAGUUUGUUGGUGGGGUAAUGGCCUACCAAGACUGUGAUCAAUAGCUGAUUUGAGAGGAUGAUCAGCCACAUUGGGACUGAGACACGGCCCAAACUCCUACGGGAGGCAGCAGUGGGGAAUCUUGCACAAUGGAGGAAACUCUGAUGCAGCGAUGCCGCGUGAGUGAAGAAGGCCCUUGGGUUGUAAAGCUCUUUCGUCGGGGAAGAAAAUGACUGUACCCGAAUAAGAAGGUCCGGCUAACUUCGUGCCAGCAGCCGCGGUAAUACGAAGGGACCUAGCGUAGUUCGGAAUUACUGGGCUUAAAGAGUUCGUAGGUGGUUGAAAAAGUUGGUGGUGAAAUCCCAGAGCUUAACUCUGGAACUGCCAUUAAAACUUUUCAGCUAGAGUAUGAUAGAGGAAAGCAGAAUUUCUAGUGUAGAGGUGAAAUUCGUAGAUAUUAGAAAGAAUACCAAUUGCGAAGGCAGCUUUCUGGAUCAUUACUGACACUGAGGAACGAAAGCAUGGGUAGCGAAGAGGAUUAGAUACCCUCGUAGUCCAUGCCGUAAACGAUGUGUGUUAGACGUUGGAAAUUUAUUUUCAGUGUCGCAGGGAAACCGAUAAACACACCGCCUGGGGAGUACGACCGCAAGGUUAAAACUCAAAUGAAUUGACGGGGACCCGCACAAGUAGUGGAGCAUGUGGUUUAAUUCGAAGAUACGCGCAGAACCUUACCAACACUUGACAUGUUCGUCGCGACUCUAAGAGAUUAGAGUUUUCGGUUCGGCCGGACGAAACACAGGUGCUGCAUGGCUGUCGUCAGCUCGUGUCGUGAGAUGUUGGGUUAAGUCCCGCAACGAGCGCAACCCUCACUUUUAGUUGCCAUCAUUAAGUUGGGCACUCUGAAAGAACUGCCAGUGAUAAGCUGGAGGAAGGUGGGGAUGACGUCAAGUCCUCAUGGCCCUUACGUGUUGGGCUACACACGUGCUACAAUGGUAUCUACAACAGGAAGCAAGACUGCGAAGUUAAGCAAAUCCCUAAAAGAUACCUCAGUUCGGAUUGCACUCUGCAACUCGAGUGCAUGAAGCUGGAAUUACUAGUAAUCGUGGAUCAGCGUGCCACGGUGAAUGCGUUCCCGGGUCUUGUACACACCGCCCGUCACACCAUGGGAGUUGGUUCUACCUUAAGGCAAGGUUUCAAACCCUUGACCACGGUAUAGUCAGCGACUGGGGUGAAGUCGUAA